GAACAGGGCAGUCGCCCAUACCCGAUCACAAGCUGAAGCGAGAUACAUAUCAUAAUCAAGUGCACAGUCGAGCAAUUUUCUUCAUUCUCGAACGGGACAUUUGUAAUUGAAGUUUCGAGCCGUACGUUUGCAGCUUUGGAAUCGCAAAUUGUCCAGGUCGGCAUUGCGUGUUUAAUUUCGGUGCUUCGUGUAAAUUAAGGACGAAAAACAGACGCGUGGAGUCGCUACGUUUCUUUGAAAACGCGCGUGGAAAUUUCUUGUGCGUAAGAUUUGACUUUUGUUUCGCGGUUCGCCCCAUUCCAGUAGUUUUCCCCAAAGAGGCUUUUCACAAUGUGGAGCGGUUUCAAACUGACCAAAUUUCUCGCCAUCGCCCUGCUCUUGGCUUGCAGCUCGAGCGGAUUCGCUGCUGUAACAGAACCCCCAGCGGAACAGCCCACAGAUGCUCCAGUAGUACAGACGACAACAAAACCAACAACUACAACCGUUGCGCCGAAAACUACAACUACCGUUGCUCCAAAAACUACCACUUUAGCUCCAAAUACCACAACGGUCGCUCCACCAACAACGCCUGCACCACCACCAGCACCAUAUCCAGAUCCACAAAUCGGAAAAUGGAAUACAUCAUGUAUAAUGGUUCAAAUGGCCGCACAGUUGAAUCUAACUUACGAAACGAAAGAUAACAAAACCACUACUGCAUUGUACAAUAUUCCACCAAACGCUACCAUCGAUGCUGGCAACUGUCUGAAUCAAACUGAACAGAUUAGUCUCGAAUGGGGCCCGAUAGAUGCACUUCACUCACUCGUCAUUCAAUUCAGCAAAAAUGAGUCCAGGAAAGAAUUCGCAGUGCAAUCGUUAGUUUUCAACAUCCCAAUUGAAGGUGACAAUUUCCCAAAUGCUAAAGAGGGUCAGCAUGCUCAGCUCAUAUAUGCUGGCAAACCAGUUUUCUCCACUCCACUUCACAUGUCCUACCAUUGCACCCGCAAACAAAAACUAAACCUAACGGAAACACUUGAUAUGACCAGCGAACCCAACGGUCAAGUUACUCUCACCAAUGUCCAAUUUGAGGCCUUCAGACCCAACAAUUCAACAUCUUUCUCAACGGCCAAGGACUGUGAUGCUCCCGACACCCCAGACGUCGUACCAAUUGCUGUUGGCAUUGCACUAGCUACGUUGAUCGUAAUUGUAUUAAUUGCCUAUUUGAUUGCACGACGACGCUCGACAGCUCGUGGCUACACCAGCUUCUAAAACGUUUGUGUAUUUAAUUCUAAUCGCGAAAAAGAAAAUAAAUCUGUUUCUCCCCCCGUUUCCCAUUUUAUAUAAGAACACAUUAAUUACACGCGAAAAGAAAAUAUUUAAGUUUUUACAAAGUACUGUGGUGAAAAUAUAGAAAUAAUAGGAAUAGAGCUGUAGCUUAAGGAUGUGCGACGGAGAGGAGGAAAGUGUGCGAGUCCUGUGAAACGAAGAUGCAGAGUCGCAGCACAGGAAGAAGCAACAAGAGAUGGCCGUCACUUUUUACGCGAAACAAUUGAAUAUAUGUAUGGAGUAUAUUACGCAUCUUAUCAAUCGUCCCAUGUGGAAUUAUACAUACAUACACCUACAGGACAUACCUUCUUUACUUUAUCAAUCCCUGAAAAAUUACUUUUAUUUGGUAGCGCGCCUACAGUCAAUUUCUUUCUCAUAAACUAUCUCUCGAUUUCGGACUAAGCAUGCUAGGGUAAGCGUUGUCAAGAUUUUCCUUUGAAAGACACUUAAUUGAUAUCAUAGGAUGAGGAUUUUGGAUCCUACGAAGCGAAAUCAAUAAUGAAUUUGAACAAUUCUAAAAGGCUAGUAAUUAGAUUGAUAACAAUUUAAAUGAAAAUAUACACACGGAUACAAGAGAACAUACACGAAAUGAUUUUAAAUUAAAAAUAUUCAAUUUAUUGCUAUUAAAUCGAGGAAUAGAGUCAAGCAUGCAGGAGGCGGCGAUGUAAAAAUAUUAAUAAAAAUGUAUGUAAAGAAUUUUUAUUAUUAAUAAAGAAUAUACAAAGCUGAAAGACGA
rnacentral:misc_RNA from 1 species